rnacentral:ncRNA from 1 species
UUAAAAUAAUAUUUUAAUAUUAGUUAAUAGUAUUUCUCUUUAUUGAUUGUACAUGUUAGUUUUUGUGUUGUUUAUAAUUAAAUUAAAUAUUUAUUUGUAAUUUCAGUAUGUAAAAUUAAUGGAUUAAAUUAUUUUAUAUUUAGUUGAUUAUUUUAGUUCCGACUAAUGUUGUGCCAGCCGUCGCGGUUAUACAAUUAUUUAAAUGGGAGUAAGAAAUAUAUUUUAAAUAUUGUAUUAAAUUUUAAUUUUUAUUAAAUUAUAUAUUAUAAUAUAUAAAGUGAAAUUUUUUAUUAUAUUAAUUAUUUUACAUUAAAUAGAAUAUUAUAUGAAAUUAUAUUUUAUUAAACUGGGAUUAGAUACCCCAUUAUAAUUUAACUUAAAUAUAAAUUUAGUUAUUAAUAGUAUUGUUCUUUAAAAUUAAGAAAUUUGGCGGUAAUAUAUAUUAUCAGAGGAAUCUGUCCUAUAAUUGAUAUUCCACGAUGAAUCUUACUUUUUUUGUAUUAUUUAUAUAUCGCUGUUAUGAAUAUCUUUUUAAAGUAAUUUUCUUUUAUUUAUAUAUAAAAAUAUAGUAGGUCAAGGUGUAAUUAUAAAAAAGAAGAGAUGGAUUACUUUUAUAAUUAAUUAAUGGUACUAUUUAUGUAAAUAUAUAGUUUUAAAUAGGAUUUGAUAGUAAUAUAUAUAUAUAUAUUAUUAUUGAAUAAUUUAAUUAUAUUAUGUACAUAUCGCCCGUCACUCUUAUUAAUAAUAUAAGAUAAGUCGUAACAAAGUAGGUUUACUGGAAAGUGAACCUUGGUAAAUAUUGUUUAUG